CAGUGGGGAAUAUUGCACAAUGGGCGCAAGCCUGAUGCAGCCAUGCCGCGUGUAUGAAGAAGGCCUUCGGGUUGUAAAGUACUUUCAGCGGGGAGGAAGGUGUUGUGGUUAAUAACCACAGCAAUUGACGUUACCCGCAGAAGAAGCACCGGCUAACUCCGUGCCAGCAGCCGCGGUAAUACGGAGGGUGCAAGCGUUAAUCGGAAUUACUGGGCGUAAAGCGCACGCAGGCGGUCUGUUAAGUCAGAUGUGAAAUCCCCGGGCUCAACCUGGGAACUGCAUCUGAUACUGGCAGGCUUGAGUCUCGUAGAGGGGGGUAGAAUUCCAGGUGUAGCGGUGAAAUGCGUAGAGAUCUGGAGGAAUACCGGUGGCGAAGGCGGCCCCCUGGACGAAGACUGACGCUCAGGUGCGAAAGCGUGGGGAGCAAACAGGAUU
rnacentral:rRNA from 1 species